GACGAACGCUGGCGGCGUGCUUAACACAUGCAAGUCGAACGGAAAGGCCCUGCUUUUGUGGGGUGCUCGAGUGGCGAACGGGUGAGUAACACGUGAGUAACCUGCCCUUGACUUUGGGAUAACUUCAGGAAACUGGGGCUAAUACCGGAUAGGAGCUCCUGCUGCAUGGUGGGGGUUGGAAAGUUUCGGCGGUUGGGGAUGGACUCGCGGCUUAUCAGCUUGUUGGUGGGGUAGUGGCUUACCAAGGCUUUGACGGGUAGCCGGCCUGAGAGGGUGACCGGCCACAUUGGGACUGAGAUACGGCCCAGACUCCUACGGGAGGCAGCAGUGGGGAAUAUUGCACAAUGGGCGGAAGGCGGAUGGAGCAACGCCGCGUGCGGGAUGACGGCCUUCGGGUUGUAAACCGCUUUCGCCUGUGACGAGGCGUGAGUGACGGUAAUGGGUAAAGAAGCACCGGCUAACUACGU
rnacentral:rRNA from 1 species